GCGACCCCAGGAUGGGCGGGAUGACCCCCUGAGUUUAAGCAUAUCAAUAAGCGGAGGAAAAGAAACU
rnacentral:rRNA from 1 species